rnacentral:lncRNA from 12 species
GUUAGGGUCAGGGUUAGGGUCAGGGUUAAGGUUAGGGUUAGUGUUUAGGGUAAGGGCUGGGGUUAGGCUUAGAGUUAGAGUUAGGGUUAGGGUUAGGGUUAGGGUUAGGGUUAGUGUUAGGGUUAGGGUUAGGGUUAGGGUUAGGGUUAGGGCUAGGGUUAGGGUUAGGGUUAGAGUUUGAGUUAGGGUUAGGGUUAGGGUUAAAGUUAGGUUAGAGUCAGGGUUAAGGUCAGGGUAAGGGUUAGGGUUAGAGUUAGGGUUAGCUUGAGGGUUAGGGUUAGCUUCAGGGUUAGGGUUAGGGGUUAGGGUUAGGGUUUCAAGUAAAUUUAGGGUUAGGGGUUAGGGGUUAAGGUAAGGGUUAUGGUUAGGGGUUAUGGGUUCAAUUUAAGCUUAGGGUUAGGGUUUUAGGAGUAGGGUUGUGGUUAGGGGUUAGGGGUAGGGUUAGUGAGUUGAGUUAGGGUUUAGGGUUAGGGUUAGGUUUGGGAAUAAGGGGUUAGGAUUAGAGUUAGGGUUAGGGUUUAGGGUUAGGGUUAGGGGUUCGGUUUAGUGUUAGAUUUAGGGGUUCGGGUUAGGGUUAGGUUUAGAGUGUUGAUUUAUGUUUUAAGUUUAAGGUUAGGGGUAGGUUUGUGGUUAGGGUUUAGGGUUACGGUUAUAGGGUUAGGGGUUAGGGUUAGGGUUAGGUUUAGGGGUUAGGGUUAGGGUUUAGGGGUUAGGGUAAGGGUUAUCGUUAGUGGUUAGGUGUUCAAGUUAGGGUUAGGGUUAGGUUUAGGGUGAGGUUUAGGUUUAGGGUUGGGGUUAGGGUGGGAGUGAGGGUUAGGGUUAGGGUUAGGAUUACGGUUAAGGUUAGUGGUGUUAGGGUUAUUGUUAGGGGUAUGGUUAGGGUUGGGUUAGGGUUUGGGUUAGGGUUAGGGUCAGGGUCAGGGUCAGGGUCAGGGUCAGGGUCAGGGUCAGGGUCAGGGUCAGGGUCAGGGUCAGGGUCAGGGUCAGGGUCAGGGUCAGGGUCAGGGUCAGGGUCAGGGUCAGGGUCAGGGUCAGGGUCAGGGUCAGGGUCAGGGUCAGGGUCAGGGUCAGGGUCAGGGUCAGGGUCAGGGUCAGGGUCAGGGUCAGGGUCUAGGGUUAGGGUUAGGGUUAGGGUUAGGGUUAGGGUUAGGGUUAGGGUUAGGGUUAGGGUUAGGGUUAGGGUUAGGGUUAGGGUUAGGGUUAGGGUUAGGGUUAGGGUUAGGGUUAGGGUUAGGGUUAGGGUUAGGGUUAGGGUUAGGGUUAGGGUUAGGCUCAGGGUUAUCCCCAGAAUUAGGGUUCAGAAGGGAUAGGGUUAUGUUUAUUGUUGGGUUUGGGGUUAGGCUUAGUGUUAGGGUUUUUCUUUGACAUAGGCUUAGGGUUAGGUUUAGGCUUGGAUUUAGGCUUUGGUUUCGGCUUAUUAUUAGGGUUAGGGAUAGGGUUUGGGUUACGGUUAGGUUUAGGGUUAAGUUUAGGGUUAGGGUUGAGUUGGGAGUUAGUUUUAGGGUUAGGCUUAGGGUUAUGGUUUGGUUUAGGUUUAGGUUUAGCCUUAGCAUUAGGGUUAAGGUUAGGUUUAGGCUUAGGGUUAGGUUUAGGGUUAGGAUUAGAGUUAGUGUUAGGUUUAAGUUUAGGAUUAUCCCCAGAAUUAGGUUUCAGAGGAAUAGGGUCAUGGGUUUUUUUUGGUUUUAUGGUUAGGCUUCGUGUUAGGGUUUUUUUUUGACAUAGGCUUAGGGUUAUGGUUGGGAUUAGGGUUAGGUUUAGAUUUCGAGUUAUGAUUGAGCUGGGGGUUAGUGUUAGGGUUAGGGUUAUGGUUAGGGUUAGGGUUAGCAUUAGGGUUAGGGUUAGGCUUGGUCUUAGGGUUAGGGUUAGUUUUAGUCUUAAGGUUAGGGUUAGUUUUAGGCUUAAGGUUAGGGUUAGUCUUAGUGUUACAGGAGUAGCCUGUCCGGAAGUCCUGCUCCCACCUACCCCUUUGUCUCAAGUUGUC